rnacentral:rRNA from 1 species
GAUCAUUGCUCAGGAUGAACGCUGGCGGCGUGCUUAACACAUGCAAGUCGAACGGGAAUCACUUCAUUGAGACUUCGGUGGAUUUGAUUUGAUUCUAGUGGCGGACGGGUGAGUAACGCGUGGGUAACCUGCCUUAUACAGGGGGAUAACAGUCAGAAAUGACUGCUAAUACCGCAUAAGCGCACAGAGCUGCAUGGCUCAGUGUGAAAAACUCCGGUGGUAUAAGAUCGG